GCUGACGUAGCUCAAUUGGCAGAGCGCUUCCCUUGUAAGGAAGGGGUUAAGGGUUCGAGUCCCUUCGUCAGCUCCA
rnacentral:tRNA from 1 species